rnacentral:piRNA from 1 species
UUAAAAGGGAAACUGUUGCCA